AUGAAAAAAAGUGGGGGAAGUGAAGACGAUCAUGAGGAAGGCCAUGGGAUUGAUGAUGCCUGGGCGACAGGAGGUCGGACCACUUACUGCUUUUUUCAUCUGAACAUGAAAGGCCUGAAACUUGAUGGUACCCGAAAGACAUUAAGCCAGUUGCAAACCAAUAUCUCAUUUACCACAAAUCUUUUCUUCAUGUUAAUAAACUUUGGCUAGUAGGAUUCCUUGGGGCAGGGAGUAUAUAUCCCGAAAAGAAAUAUUGAAAAAUUACAGAAACAUUCUUAUUGCUAAUGACUUGGUCAACUGAGAGUGCGUAAUAGGCCUCAUUUCUGAUUGUUAUUAGGCAUAACGUUUUAUUCCUUGGUGUAGAAAAUAUGAGCUUUUGAUAUCACUGCUUUAGUAUAAUUGACUCUCUGAGCCCUGUCUGAACUUAGUGAUUCAUCAUUUUUCAAAUUAGUAGGGACACGGGUAGGGUAAUCUGAGGCUAUAAUCAGUAAAACCUUCUGAAUACCUUCCACAAUAAUGGAUUAGGCUGUCAUUUGUUGUAUCUCUUAUUUGUGUUAUUGUGUGAGCCUAGGAUGUCAAUUUAAGCUCAUUAGUUUAAUUUUUAAGAUGUUUCUCCUUGCUUCUGACAGCAAUAGGAAGCAUGUCCACUGGGUGUGUACUGCCUUAAUUUGUUGAAUUUGGCAGCAGUGACCCCCCCCUCCCCCCGCCUUGUAAGAGACAAGAUACUCAAGUGUCAAGCGCUUACAGGGUCAUCCAUCUUCCUCGGCCUUCCACCCACUGGGCUGGACCACAUGCACCCACUGUUCGGGCCCCUUCUCUGCUCUCUUUUUGUCAUUAUGCUGUUGUCAAUUCCACCGUUUAUUCAGUGAUUAAUCAUCAUUUGGAAGGUUCUGCUGGGAGGCAACAGAAAGGGGAGUAUUCCUGCAGGUGGUUUCUCUCUGAUUAGUCAAAAGUGAUAAUGACUUGCUGCUGGGGCUUUGUCAUGAGAAGGGAAGAGGGUGCCUCCUUUUUCUUUUGCAGAAAUGCAUUGGAAUUUUAUAAACCUGAGAAAUAAACUUAAUUGUACAAACA
rnacentral:lncRNA from 12 species